rfam:Caprimulgus carolinensis contig59851, whole genome shotgun sequence.
CCCCAGGAUUUAAUAAAAUCCACUUAUCAAAAUAAUUAAGAGUAUUU